UCCUCGGUAGCUCAGUGGUAGAGCACUUGGCUGUUAACCAAGUAGUCGCUGGUUCGAACCCGGCCCGGGGAG
rnacentral:tRNA from 1 species